GAUGAACGCUGGCGGCGUGCCUAAUACAUGCAAGUCGAGCGAACAGACGAGGAGCUUGCUCCUCUGACGUUAGCGGCGGACGGGUGAGUAACACGUGGAUAACCUACCUAUAAGACUGGGAUAACUUCGGGAAACCGGAGCUAAUACCGGAUAAUAUAUUGAACCGCAUGGUUCAAUAGUGAAAGACGGUUUUGCUGUCACUUAUAGAUGGAUCCGCGCCGCAUUAGCUAGUUGGUAAGGUAACGGCUUACCAAGGCGACGAUGCGUAGCCGACCUGAGAGGGUGAUCGGCCACACUGGAACUGAGACACGGUCCAGACUCCUACGGGAGGCAGCAGUAGGGAAUCUUCCGCAAUGGGCGAAAGCUUGACGGAGCAACGCCGCGUGAGUGAUGAAGGUCUUCGGAUCGUAAAGCUCUGUUAUUAGGGAAGAACAAAUGUGUAAGUAACUAUGCCCGUCUUGACGGUACCUAAUCAGAAAGCCACGGCUAACUACGUG
rnacentral:rRNA from 1 species